UACGUAGGGUGCGAGCGUUGUCCGGAAUUAUUGGGCGUAAAGGGCUCGUAGGCGGUUUGUCACGUCGGGAGUGAAAACUCAGGGCUUAACCCUGAGCCUGCUUCCGAUACGGGCAGACUAGAGGUAUGCAGGGGAGAACGGAAUUCCUGGUGUAGCGGUGAAAUGCGCAGAUAUCAGGAGGAACACCGGUGGCGAAGGCGGUUCUCUGGGCAUUAACUGACGCUGAGGAGCGAAAGCAUGGGGAGCGAACAGG
rnacentral:rRNA from 1 species